GACUAGUGGCGUUUCCCCGCCCCCCACAUCAACUCCGGGAUGUCUUGCACCCUCCCUAGCGGCAAACGACCCACUGGAAACAGAGGAACUGUGGCGCUGGCCGUGGUGGCACCCGGGGAUGCUGGCAUGAUUCUGGCGAUGCUAGUGGGGACACCGCUGCAACACAGAGGCACAACCAGGCCCACCGUGUCCCCUAUCACCUCCUGUCACUGCCUGAAGGCUUUUCCUUGCUUAGGGACCCCGGGCGAUUUGCGGGCCGGAUGCCUCUGCUACGCCCAGUCUCGGAGGCCAGCGCUGCAGGCUCAGCCUGUAGCUCCGAUGGACCCCUUUGGCACAACACCUCUUAGUUUAAUAUCAAAGGACUUACUUUUUUGAUCAGUGUCCCCCAGAAAGCCCUCUGUGGUCAAUUAAUAGACUGUAUCUUUCCAAAUCAAAUCAAAGAUGGAGAGUAGGCAGGGGACACAUCAGUCCUUCCCAGACCAUGUCCAUCCCUGCAGACCCGAGGUGAGGGCUGGGCACACCGUGUCUGGGGUGUGUCCUUGUUUUACCCUAGUUUUGCAGAGGAGAAAGAACACCUGUGCUGCAGGGAGAGAGUGAAGAACCUGACCCGGACUGAGCAGGAAGAGGAGAAGCACGAAACCCUGGUCCCGCCUGGCCGGUUGGGUUGGUCUCUGUCGAGGAGCCCUGCAGGAGUGGCCAGGAUGAAGCAUCACCCCAGAGAUGUGCUGGGAUGUGAGGAUCUGCUAAUGCCCAAGUGCUGGGGGCCUUGAGGACCUCAUCUGCCCUUGAAGGAGCAAGCACUGUCUGGAGGCUGUGCCUCUGCAGGCCACUGGCAGGCAGGUUUGGAGCCCAGGAGCUGAUGCAGGCCUUUGACUGAUGUUUCCUCCAGGACCCCAGAUGCUGUAGGAUCCCCUAAAGAGCAAGCUGCUUGCUGAGUAAAAGCAAAUAAAAUACCCCCAAACCAACAAACAGUGCAGGAGAGAGUG